UACAGAGGUCUCGAGCGUUAGGCGGAAUCACUGGGCUUAAAGCGUGUGUAGGCGGAUCGUUAAGUGCCUUGUGAAAUCCCACGGCUUAACCGUGGAACUGCUUGGCAUACUGGCGGUCUUGAGCAACCUAGGGGCGAGCGGAACAAAUGGUGGAGCGGUGAAAUGCGUAGAUAUCAUUUGGAACGCCAAUGGUGAAAACAGCUCGCUGGGGGUUUGCUGACGCUGAGACGACGAAAGCCAGGGGAGCAA
rnacentral:rRNA from 1 species